GCCUCGUUCGUCUAGGGGUUAGGACAUCAGAUUUUCAUUCUGGUAACAGGGGUUCGAUUCCCCUACGAGGUACCA
rnacentral:tRNA from 1 species